GUUCAUUAGAGAGCACAAGAUGUGUGGACUGCUUGAGGGUUGCAACAGUGUUCUUUCUAACAUUUCUGCUCAGAAUGUUGACUGUGCAAGCUCUCACCCUUGUGAUAUAUUUUGCAAGAGAGUAGUUUUGGGACAAUUUACUUAGAUCUUAUUUGAUCCUAUUUGAUUAUUUCUCUUCCCAGGCAGGUUUUGAGGUAGGACCUCCCAGCAUUCACGACGCGACGACGGUGCUGGAAGGUGGUGUGUAUUCUCGAGACUCCUCUCAUUCCCACGAUGUCUUCAUAUCCAGCUGCCCUCCUUCUGACUCUUCUGGUGGCCAUGCUGCCUGCCCAACACCUACUUGUAUCAGGUUAUGAGGUUGAAGAUGAUCAGAUUAGACCGCCAGAUGGCUAUGAUGCCAGGUCUACUAGAAGAUUAGGUAGUAAACAUACUGUAAAUUCUUCAUGAACACUGAGUGCCUUCACUUUGCCAAUGUCCAAUGCAAGCACAAAGUGUAAGCCGGCGUAAAAUAAAGGACUUCAACAUUGAGCUGUGGAAACCUUCUUGUGGGACUGAAAUAAUACUGACCCUAGAGGACAAUGACAGGACAAAACACGUUUGUCUCAGUCCUGAUGGUUCACAAGGUAAAAGGCUACUCCGGUGUUGGGAUAGAAUUAAUCAAGACCAAAAUCAUAAGAAGAGAUGCAUAAGACGAAGAAAAGGCCCAUUAAGGCGAUCACCGUCUUGAUUCGUUCAAUUCCUAUAUGAAGCAAGAAAUUGAAGCAACUGACAGAUAUUUACAUCAAACAUUUUAUAUAUUCAUUUAGUCAGUCAUCUUUUUCCAUGCCGUAUCCCUUAUCAUAUGUGACCAUCCAAAGCGAAAUCAGUCAUUUUGCGCACAACGUUAUUUUGAGAAAAUCAACAAUAACAAACUUCCGGGUUAAAAUGUUAAAUUUCACGUUGUCGCAUAAUUCGACUGUAUACAGUCUACAGUUUCAUAUCGUGAACGCAUUUCAUGGAAAAACAUAUGUUUUGACUAUUAAACCCGGCGAGGAUUCAACAAAUUUGAUGUCAUUCCCAUUGUGCACGCGCCGCUUAAAAUGGUGAUUUCUCCUCUUCUGGCAUAUCAUGACAGGAGAACCAUGUCAACUUUUGAUGCGCUUAUCAUAGCGAUAGUUUGUGUAAUACCCUCAAUAUACAUAUCGUUGGAAAGCUUAGUUUAUGGCCGUUCACGUGAGCACAAUAACUUAAUUUAGUAAAUUUUACCGAAACGACUGGUUCCGCUUUACAGGGUCACAUAUUCUCAUGUUAGCCAGUUUCAACCAAGUCACAGCUAAUGUAUUAGACAGAAUUUACCUCACUAGUUACUAUCAUGAGGGCUUUUUAAAUGUGUGAUUAUGCUGGAUUCAAGUUGUCUUGAAUGCAGCCACAAAGGACUCUUCCAUUGACAUGCAUUGUAUUUAAGACAGUGCCACACAUGGUACAAUGCGGUAUUACAAGACAAUCAGUAUAGCACUUGUUCGCUUACAUUUCAACUCUGGUGGAUUAUUAGGCAACACAGUUUUUUAUUUUUUUUAAAACAUUUUUGUGCUUAAAUUAAUAUACUGUAUAACAUUUUCAUCUAUUUAUGAAUAUA